rnacentral:rRNA from 1 species
GUGAGGAAUAUUGGACAAUGGAUGGAAAUCUGAUCCAGCCAUGCCGCGUGCAGGAAGACGGCCCUAUGGGUUGUAAACUGCUUUUAUACGGGAGCAAUAAGGUCUAUGCAUAGAUUGAUGAGAGUACCGUAUGAAUAAGCAUCGGCUAACUCCGUGCCAGCAGCCGCGGUAAUACGGAGGAUGCGAGCGUUAUCCGGAUCUAUUGGGUUUAAAGGGUGCGUAGGCGGCUUUGUAAGUCAGCGGUGAAAUUUUGCAGCUUAACUGUAAAAGCGCCGUUGAUACUGUGAAGCUAGGAUUUGGUUGCUGUGGGCGGAAUGUGUGGUGUAGCGGUGAAAUGCAUAGAGAUCACACAGAAUAUCGAUUGCGAAGGCAGCUCACAAAGCCAAUAUUGACGCUGAGGCACGAAAGUGUGGGGAUCAAACAGGAUUAGAUACCCGAGUAGUCC